rnacentral:lncRNA from 1 species
CUCCCUCAAAGCGGAGGUGAGGCCGGACUGAGGCUCUUACAGUGGUCCCUGCUGGCCCUUGGUGACGGGUCGCGUCAGUUCCGACCCGGACCCGUACGCUGCUGCGCUGACGUGGCUCCUGGAAGCAGGGCUGGCGUAGGGCCGCCAUGUUGCAGCAGGAUAGUAAUGAUGACACUGAAGAUGUUUCACUGUUUGAUGCGGAAGAGGAGACGACUAAUAGACCAAGAAAAGCCAAAAUCAGACAUCCAGUAGCAUCGUUUUUCCACUUAUUCUUUCGAGUCAGUGCAAUCAUCGUCUGUCUUCUCUGUGAGUUGCUCAGCAGCAGCUUUAUUACCUGUAUGGUUACAAUUAUCUUGUUGUUGUCGUGUGACUUUUGGGCAGUGAAGAAUGUCACAGGUAGACUAAUGGUUGGCCUACGUUGGUGGAAUCACAUUGAUGAAGAUGGAAAGAGCCAUUGGGUGUUUGAAUCUAGAAAGGAGUCCUCUCAAGAGAAUAAAACUGUGUCAGAGGCUGAAUCAAGAAUCUUUUGGUUGGGACUUAUUGCCUGUUCAGUACUGUGGGUGAUAUUUGCCUUUAGUGCACUCUUCUCCUUCACAGUAAAGUGGCUGGUGAGUAUCAGUGUAGAACUUUCAAAUAAUCCAUUAAGAUGUCUGAUGGUAAUCAUAGGAAGCAACAACUGCAACUGAGUCCUUAUCAUUAGGGACCUAUCUUGAAUAGGCAGCUUCAUCAUGUAAUUCCCAAGUUUUGCUUCCCAACUUUACCUUUCUCUAUAAUACUGGAGAAGAGAUCCUAAAAAACCCCUUCCCACCAGUUUUCUAGGAUAUUAGUGGUCUUUUCUGGAAAUAAUGGUUGGUAAUCUGUUUUGGUUACCUAUUGCUGCCUAACAAAUCACCCCAAAACAUAGUGGCUUAGAGCAACAACAGCCAUUAUCUCACAGUUUCUAUGGGUCAGGAUCUUGGGAAGGGCUCUGCUGGGAGAUUCUGGCUUGGGGUCUUGAGUAGUUGUAGUCAGACAGUAGUUGGAAUGAUGGGGGUUGUGAGCCAUCUCCUCUUCAUGAGGUCCCAUGGCCUCUCCACAUGUUUUUCCAUGUGCCUUGGUUUGGGCUUCCUCAUGGCAUGGUGGCCUCAUGGUGGUGGGACUGCUUACGUGGCAGCCCAGUACUUCACUUGUGGGGUGUUCUAGCUCACAAGCUUUUACAAUCUAGCCUAAGAUGUCAUAGCAUUGCUUCUGCUGCCCACUCACAUUCAAGGAAAUGGGAAUUAGGCUCUACUCUUGAUAAGGAAUAAGAAGGUGCUAGAAGACUUUGUGGAAGAGGAGAUAUUGUUGCUGCUGUCUUUGG